GCCCCGUUCGUCUAGCGGCCCAGGACGCCGCCCUCUCACGGCGGUAACACCGGUUCAAAUCCGGUACGGGGUACCA
rnacentral:tRNA from 2 species